UACCAGCACCCCGAGUGGUCGGGACGUUUAUUGGGCCUAAAGCAUCCGUAGCCGGUUCUACAAGUCUUCCGUUAAAUCCACCUGCUUAACAGAUGGGCUACGGAAGAUACUAUAGAGCUAGGAGGCGGGAGAGGCAAGCGGUACUCGAUGGGUAGGGGUAAAAUCCGUUGAUCCAUUGAAGACCACCAGUGGCGAAGGCGGCUUGCCAGAACGCGCUCGACGGUGAGGGAUGAAAGCUGGGGGAGCAAACCGG
rnacentral:rRNA from 1 species